rnacentral:rRNA from 1 species
UACGGGGGGAGCAAGCGUUGUUCGGAUUUACUGGGCGUAAAGGGCGCGUAGGCGGCCUCCGCAAGUCGACUGUGAAAUCUCCGGGCUUAACCCGGAAAGGUCAGCCGAAACUGCGGGGCUAGAGUGCAGAAGGGGCAACUGGAAUUCUCGGUGUAGCGGUGAAAUGCGUAGAUAUCGAGAGGAACACCUGCGGCGAAGGCGGGUUGCUGGGCUGACACUGACGCUGAAGCGCGAAAGCCAGGGGAGCGAACGGG